rnacentral:tRNA from 1 species
GGGGACGUGGCGGAAUUGGCAGACGCGCAUGACUUAGGAUCAUGUGCCUUACGGCGUGCGAGUUCAAGUCUCGCCGUCCCCACCA